rnacentral:lncRNA from 1 species
UUGAAUCCUGCAGCUUAGGAGUGGAUUUCUUCUCGACGGCUAGUACGAUAGUAUCGGAGCCGCGAACACCGACGGCGGCGUUCCCCUUGCGCACGGCUUCGAGAGCGUACUCGACCUGAAAUAGGUGGCCGUCCGGCGAGAAAACAGUAAUCGCUCUGUCAUAUCGCGCCAUAUCUCAACAAUCUACCGAUCUGUCGGAAUCUGUUUAUAUUUCUUCGUUGAAAGUAGUACAAUUUUGUUGAUUCGAUGAGUGAGGAAAAAAUUGGGGAAGUUUUAAGAGAGCCAGUUCAACGGAGCUUGGGCGACACGACAAAUACGAGUGGGAACUUAAAGUUUGUGUUGUGUAGAAAUCGCGUAAGGAAUACACGAUUCUUGGGGGAAAAUGCCAUGGAAAAGGAUCAAUUUUUAUCAAUUAUCAAAUCUUAACCUAUAUGCGUACUCAAAAUUUACCUAACUAUUAAUAAUAUCAAAUUCAAAGUUGUCCCCAACGGACACCAAGGAGUGCGACCUCCUGUGUUGUGAACAGUGAGGUCCCGAGUUCAAACCCCAUUGCUUCCUCUCUCCAACUCCCUCAAAAAAAAAUAUAUAUAUAUAUUAAAUCAAAGUUUCAGACUAUUAAAGUUGUAGCAAAAANAUUCUUGAAAGUCUAUCUAUGUUUUGGAUUUAACAAAUGAUACAUAAAUCAGUAAUGACAAUAAUUCUCUUUUGAACAAAAUACCAUCCAUUUAUCAAGAGACAUCUCUCUGAUUUAUAUGAGUCAUCUGUGUUCACUUCAUGUUUUGCAAACCAGUUUGGAAAAGGUGUUCUCUAACAUUUUCUUCGCUUACGACAAUCCUAAGUUAAACAUUGCACAACUUCAUCUAUAUUCUACAAAAUCAACCCAAGCUUUAAAAUAUUUUCUUCUCAUCCACUGGCAAAACCUUGACACAGCAAUGUAAACAGCUAAACUGGUUACUCAAGCUAAGAGAGACCAAUAAUAGACAACGCUCAAAACGAAAUUAUAUUUGCCCUACUACUACAAAAAAAUUAGUAAAACAAAGACGCAGUCAGAUAACAGGAAAAAAAAAAUCAAAUUAAAAACCUCGAAAUAAAUUAAACCUCAAUAGCAAACCCUAAACCCUAAACAGAUUCCAUGAUACAUCUAAACCGCAAUAAAUUCACCAGACAGUGAAAAAACAAUAUUUCCCGAUCUGCAAUCACGUUGAGCGGUGCGUGUGAUACAGAGAGAAAACAAACCUCGAAUCCUGCAGCUUAGGAGUGGAUUUCUUCUCGACGGCUAGUACGAUAGUAUCGGAGCCGCGAACACCGACGGCGGCGUUCCCCUUGCGCACGGCUUCGAGAGCGUACUCGACCUGAAAUAGGUGGCCGUCCGGCGAGAAAACAGUAAUCGCUCUGUCAUAUCGCGCCAUAUCUCAACAAUCUACCGAUCUGUCGGAAUCUGUUUAUAUUUCUUCGUUGAAAGUAGUACAAUUUUGUUGAUUCGAUGAGUGAGGAAAAAAUUGGGGAAGUUUUAAGAGAGGCA